GAUGAACGCUGGCGGCGUGCCUAAUACAUGCAAGUCGAGCGAACAGACGAGGAGCUUGCUCCUCUGACGUUAGCGGCGGACGGGUGAGUAACACGUGGAUAACCUACCUAUAAGACUGGGAUAACUUCGGGAAACCGGAUCUAAUACCGGAUAAUAUAUUGAACCGCAUGGUUCAAUAGUGAAAGACGGUUUUGCUGUCACUUAUAGAUGGAUCCGCGCCGCAUUAGCUAGUUGGUAAGGUAACGGCUUACCAAGGCAACGAUGCGUAGCCGACCUGAGAGGGUGAUCGGCCACACUAGAACUGAGACACGGUCCAGACUCCUACGGGAGGCAGCAGUAGGGAAUCUUCCGCAAUGGGCGAAAGCCUGACGGAGCGACGCCGCGUGAGUGAUGAAGGUCUUCGGAUCGUAAAACUCUGUUAUUAGGGAAGAACAAAUGUGUAAGUAACUAUGCACGUCUUGACGGUACCUAAUCAGAAAGCCACGGCUAACUACGUG
rnacentral:rRNA from 1 species